GACGAACGCUGGCGGCGUGCCUAAUACAUGCAAGUCGAACGAGAGCGACCGGUGCUUGCACUGGUCAAUCUAGUGGCGCACGGGUGAGUAACACGUGGGUAACCUGCCCAUCAGAGGGGGAUAACAUCCGGAAACGGAUGCUAAAACCGCAUAGGUCUUCGAGCCGCAUGGCUUGAAGAGGAAAAGAGGCGCAAGCUUCUGCUGAUGGAUGGACCCGCGGUGCAUUAGCUAGUUGGUGAGGUAACGGCUCACCAAGGCCGGGAUGCAUAGCCGACCUGAGAGGGUGAUCGGCCACAUUGGGACUGAGACACGGCCCAAACUCCUACGGGAGGCAGCAGUAGGGAAUCUUCCGCAAUGGACGCAAGUCUGACGGAGCAACGCCGCGUGAGUGAAGAAGGUUUUCGGAUCGUAAAACUCUGUUGUUAGAGAAGAACAAGUGCUAGAGUAACUGUUAGCGCCUUGACGGUAGCUAAUCAGAAAGCCACGGCUAACUACGUG
rnacentral:rRNA from 1 species